CAAAGGAAUAGCUCUUCUGGGGUCUCUGUUGAACGUAGUCAGUUCCUUUUCAUUACAGUAUAGUACUGCAAUGUAAAUUAAUUUAUUCCGCAUCUAAAAUUCUAGUAUGGAAGUCUUACAAGUGGUGUAGUCCUGAGCAUUCUUAGACAUAUCCUUUGGUAUAUAACUAUUUUUCCUUCUUCUGUUGGCCAUGCUCCUAAAAGAGAAUUGUUGUCAUCAUGUAUUUUCAUGUUAAACUGCAGUAAAACCUGAUAAACCAUUUUCAAGGGCUCCAGCUACUCCACGUGCUUAGUGAUACUAGGUAGUAUGUAUGUAUGUAUGUAUGUAUGUAUGUAUGUAUGUAUGUAUGUAUGUAUGUGUAUGUGCUUGCUGAGCCUGGCAUGGCCCUGGUGGGGACAGAGUGACAUGGUUCUUGCCCCUGGGACAGGGCCUCUGUGUGAGCUUCCCCCGAUGUUGAUGGUUGCUGUGGGCGUUAGGAUUGUUUAUGUAAUAAUGUACAUAUUUUCACAUUCCUCAGAGGAAUGUCCUCCCUGUAGACAUGAAUGAUUCCUUGUGAACAGUGCAAGUCCAGGAGUUGAGGGUCCGGCUGUGUCUCAGCAAAAUGGUAAAAGCUGGGACAUUCAGGACAGCCCUUAAGGCUAUGGGAAAAAGCUCUAUAUACAUGAGUUUAAGGUAUAUAUAAUUUCUCUCAACUAUACAAAAUAGUAGGAUACAAUAUGAAUUAUGAGGGGCUUCAUGAAUCUAAAGGAACAAAGGCAACUACAAUAUGAGCCAGUUUGUCAGAAAGAUAGAAAGGCAGCUGGAUUCCUGAGUUCAAGGUCAGCCUAGGACAGAACGAGGUUAGGCCUAUGUGGUGAUGGUGGUGGUGGUGGUGGAGAGGUGGGAGUAGAAAUGGUAAUUUCAGAGCAGGGUCCCACCCAUCUAACUUAUCAUCUGUGCUUAACAAAGGCAGAGAGACCUCUGAAUUCUUUUAUAGGGUUAAGAAAAAAUGUAUGCUUGCUGUCUUUAAGAAUCAAAGGGCUGGGGUCCCAGGAUGCUUAUUCAUAAGAUAAUCAAAGGAACCUGGAGUAAAAACUUGAUUGCUGUGUAAAUAAAAAGCCUGGACCUGUGUUCUGAACUAUUCAGAGAAGUUUUUAGAAUAAAAAGAGAACUGCUUGGAGAACAGAGACACAGACAGACCGACACAUGCGUGUCACACACACACACACACACACACACACACACACACACACAUACACAUGCACACACACGCACACACACAUGGAGGGGGAGAGAGAGAGAGAGAGAGAGAGAGAGAGAGAGAGAGAGAGAGAGAGCAGGCCAUGGACAGAGAUCUCUUAGAAUAGCAAGCAAACAGAAUGUAGAUGAGAAAUUUCCAGAAAGAAAGCAAAAUAUAUAAAGAAGCAGAUUGGAAAAGUUGUAUUGUAAGGCUUGAAGUGAGUCUUAACUACCAGGAGACACUCAGAGUUCGACACGAGAACAGAGUUCGAUGCAAAGUCCACUCCCAGGAGCAGAAGCAGCCACCACUGGAUGCAUCCUUCCACAUGCUGGACCCUCCAAUAAAUCCUUUUUAUGAAAGUCACUGACUUGUGCGACUCUCAUCAAAAGAAGUCAAGUAGUAAUGAAGAGAAGAAGAGAAGAAACGAAAAGGUGGAGUGGGGCUGAGGCCCCUGAGCUCCUGAGCUUAGCUUGGGGCCUCCCCCCUGGGACCCGAGAUUCCUCUGCUGAGGAGACGUCUUCUCAGAACUGCUUGGUUCCAGGGUUCCUCUGUCUCAGAACAUGAUUUCCUUGGGACACUGUCCCACCUCAGAGCUGUGUAGUUCCUGAACCCUGAUGUCUCAGGCCCUUCUACACAGAUACCUCCUCCCCUCAGAGGUGUGUGGUUCCUGGACCUCCGACUCCCAGGAUACCCGUCCAUCUGCGCAGGAACACUUAUGUUUAUCAUGUAUAGAUAGCAUGGCAUUUUUACAUGGUAGAAUCACUAAGUCUAGCUCUUUGAUAUUUGUAUUAUCUUACACUUGCUCUGUGUGUACUGGAUAGAUCUCUGUUAGUUCAUAUAAAUUUUCUUUGUGUCCUCCAUCCCCUUUGACCUUUUACUCUUCAUGCUAACUCUAUGAGUUUCUCAGAUGCCCAAGGGGAAGCAUUUUUGCAUUAAAUCUUUAAAUCCACUCUUUCAGUACUUUUCAAGAACCCAACAUAUUGUUUACUAUAUUCAUCAAACCAUUAAACUAAUUUCACACAGCA